rnacentral:lncRNA from 1 species
AGACAAAGGAAGCAGUCCAAUGAGUGACAGGAGAAGGGGAAGAGCGGCACAGAUAGCCUCUAGAAAGGCCACCACUGGGCCUUUGAAACCUACUAGGUGUGGCUCGUACAGCAGGAGCGUGGAUCAGCGGAGAAGGACAGCACCAGAGGGAGAAUAAGCCUUUACAUUUGUGUUUACGGCUGACUCUUCUUGUGUUGUGGGAACAUGCAAAGAAACACUGCCCAUGCGAAGGUACCAGUCACCGAAAGACUCGUGCUCCCUCCCUACUCCUGAACAGGAAUCAAGGGCUGCUGUUGCCUGGAAGCAAGAAGCAGCUUCUGACGAGGGUGUCCAGAAAGGCAUUUCUUCAGUGGCAUUUUCUAGAGGAACCAACAGAAAUCCCCACUCUAAACGACAACACAAACAAAACAAGGACGCCACAGACACAGAGAGAGUGUAUCUGGCAUACCAGAGCUACACCGAGCCACGGGAAUCCCAGUUCCUGGGAUAUUCCCAGUUAUUCUGUACCCAGGCUCUUUCCAGCAGAAUGCACCAGGGGAAGCCAAAAAAGGACUGCAGACGGACAAGCGGAAUGAGCUCAUGUUUCUGGCAGUGGAGCACGAGGGUUAAUGGGAGUCCCAGAGGGAGCUGCCUGCCUGGGCUCUUUCAGGAAUGGGAGUCAAUUUAACAACCUUCAGACCUUCAGAGCGUCGGCAAGGAGCCUCUGGAAAUUCCAUGAGUUCUGUUUGCUGAAGGGCCCCGAGCGCUCAAUAAAGCUGAGUUUGCAGAAGCA